ACGGCCAUACCAUGAUGAAUACACUCGUUUGAUCACCGAAGUCAAGCACCACUGGGCGCAGUCAGUACUUGGGUGGGGGACCACCUGGGAACACCGCGUGCCGUU